rnacentral:rRNA from 1 species
GACGAACGCUGGCGGCGUGCUUAACACAUGCAAGUCGAACGGAAAGGCCCUGCUUUUGUGGGGUGCUCGAGUGGCGAACGGGUGAGUAACACGUGAGUAACCUGCCCUUGACUUUGGGAUAACUUCAGGAAACUGGGGCUAAUACCGGAUAGGAGCUCCUGCUGCAUGGUGGGGGUUGGAAAGUUUCGGCGGUUGGGGAUGGACUCGCGGCUUAUCAGCUUGUUGGUGGGGUAGUGGCUUACCAAGGCUUUGACGGGUAGCCGGCCUGAGAGGGUGACCGGCCACAUGGGGACUGAGAUACGGCCCAGACUCCUACGGGAGGCAGCAGUGGGGAAUAUUGCACAAUGGGCGGAAGCCUGAUGCAGCAACGCCGCGUGUGGGAUGACGGCCUUCGGGUUGUAAACCGCUUUCGCCUGUGACGAAGCGUGAGUGACGGUAAUGGGUAAAGAAGCACCGGCUAACUACGUG